GGAGGGUGCAAGCGUUGUUCGGAAUUAUUGGGCGUAAAGCGCGUGUAGGCGGCUUGGAAAGUCGGAUGUGAAAUCCCGGGGCCCAACCCCGGAACUGCAUUCGAAACUGUCUAGCUAGAGUCUCGGAGAGGAGAGCGGAAUUCCCGGUGUAGAGGUGAAAUUCGUAGAUAUCGGGAGGAACACCAGCGGCGAAGGCGGCUCUCUGGACGAUGACUGACGCUGAGACGCGAAAGCGUGGGGAGCAAACAGGGAUUAGAUACCCUGGUAGUCCACGCCGUAAACGUUGAGUGCUAGGUGUCGCGGGUAUUGACCCCCUGCGGUGCCGUCGCUAACGCAUUUAGCACUCCGCCUGGGGAUACGGUCGCAAGACUA
rnacentral:rRNA from 1 species